GAAGCUGGCGGCAGGCCUAACACAUGCAAGUCGAGCGCGCCCUUCGGGGUGAGCGGCGGACGGGUUAGUAACGCGUGGGAACGUGCCCAGAUCUAAGGAAUAGCCACUGGAAACGGUGAGUAAUACCUUAUACGCCCUUCGGGGGAAAGAUUUAUCGGAUUUGGAUCGGCCCGCGUUAGAUUAGGUAGUUGGUGGGGUAAUGGCCUACCAAGCCUACGAUCUAUAGCUGGUUUUAGAGGAUGAUCAGCAACACUGGGACUGAGACACGGCCCAGACUCCUACGGGAGGCAGCAGUGGGGAAUCUUGGACAAUGGGGGCAACCCUGAUCCAGCCAUGCCGCGUGAGUGAUGAAGGCCUUAGGGUCGUAAAGCUCUUUCGCCUGUGAUGAUAAUGACAGUAGCAGGUAAAGAAACCCCGGCUAACUCCGUGCCAGCAGCCGCGGUAAUACGGAGGGGGUUAGCGUUGUUCGGAAUUACUGGGCGUAAAGCGCGCGUAGGCGGAUUAGUCAGUUAGAGGUGAAAUCCCAGGGCUCAACCCUGGAACUGCCUUUAAUACUGCUAGUCUUGAGUUCGAGAGAGGUGAGUGGAAUUCCGAGUGUAGAGGUGAAAUUCGUAGAUAUUCGGAGGAACACCAGUGGCGAAGGCGGCUCACUGGCUCGAU
rnacentral:rRNA from 1 species